AUGACCAUGACCAUGACCAUGAGCAUCUGCAUCAUCGUAUCCUUCUCCAUCACCACCACCACCACCAUCCUUUCUUCAGACAAUUCUGUGCUCGGUUCCAUCCCUGUGGGCUCAUUUUUGCAGAUUGGGGCUGAGUUCUGGCUGAUGGCGGCCGUGACGUUGGACGAGUCCGGGGGCGGCCUCCAGACACCCGGGGGAAGGCUCACCCUCGUCUGCAAGGCCUCCGGCUUUGACUUCAGCGAUUACAGCAUGAACUGGGUGCGACAGGCGCCCGGCAAGGGGCUGGAGUGGGUUGCAUGUAUGUAUUAUGAUGGCAGUUACACAUACUACGCGCCGGCGGUGAAGGGCCGUGCCACCAUCUCCAAGGACAACGGGCAGAGCACAGUGCGGCUGCAGCUGAACAGCCUCAAGGCCGAAGACACCGCCACCUACUACUGCACGAGAUGUUCUAGUAGUGGUUGUAAUGCUUAUGAGGCUGGUCAGAUCGACGUCGCUCCUGGAUUGAGUGGUGUCAUCCACGGCCCCGAUACAGAGAUCGGACCUGAAGUGAGCAAGCUGAGCCCAGAACGUACAGAACUCAACCCCAAUCUGCAGAAGUGA